GUCGGCGUGGUGUAGUGGUUUGAGUGUUAGGCUAUGAUUUUGGAGGCCAGGGUUCAAAUCCUGGCUCAGCCA